GCAACUGUAGUAUAAAAAAUGCGUCUGAUUUCCAUUCAGAAAAUCUCCUAUGGAGUAGUUGUA
rnacentral:tRNA from 1 species